rnacentral:snoRNA from 1 species
ACCCAGGGGGUUCCCUCUCAGGGGACAGUUCGUAUACUCAAGAAUGUGGCCACUUGGAGAAAUAUCUGGCAUUCUUCAGGAUAGUGUGGGUGAGCAAAUGU